rnacentral:rRNA from 1 species
ACGACUCUCGGCAACGGAUAUCUCGGCUCACGCAUCGAUGAAGAACGCAGCAAAAUGCGAUACUUGGUGUGAAUUGCAGAAUCCCGUGAACCAUCGAGUUUUUGAACGCAAGUUGCGCCCGAAGCCACUUGGUUGAGGGCACGUCUGCCUGGGCGUCACAC